rnacentral:rRNA from 1 species
AGAGUUCGAUUAUGGCUCAGGAUGAACGCUGGCGGCGUGCUUAACACAUGCAAGUCGAACGGGAUCCCAGGAGCUUGCUCCUGGGUGAGAGUGGCGAACGGGUGAGUAAUGCGUGACCGACCUGCCCCAUACACCGGAAUAGCUCCUGGAAACGGGUGGUAAUGCCGGAUGCUCCGACAUGACGCAUGUCGUGUCGGGAAAGAUUCAUCGGUAUGGGAUGGGGUCGCGUCCUAUCAGCUUGAUGGCGGGGUAACGGCCCACCAUGGCUUCGACGGGUAGCCGGCCUGAGAGGGCGACCGGCCACAUUGGGACUGAGAUACGGCCCAG